rnacentral:rRNA from 1 species
AUGCAAGUCGAACGGUAACAUUUCUAGCUUGCUAGAAGAUGAUGAGUGGCGGACGGGUGAGUAAUGCUUGGGAACUUGCCUUUGCGAGGGGGAUAACAGUUGGAAACGACUGCUAAUACCGCAUAAUGUCUUCGGACCAAACGGGGCUUCGGCUCCGGCGCAAAGAGAGGCCCAAGUGAGAUUAGCUAGUUGGUAAGGUAACGGCUUACCAAGGCGACGAUCUCUAGCUGUUCUGAGAGGAAGAUCAGCCACACUGGGACUGAGACACGGCCCAGACUCCUACGGGAGGCAGCAGUGGGGAAUAUUGCACAAUGGGGGAAACCCUGAUGCAGCCAUGCCGCGUGUGUGAAGAAGGCCUUCGGGUUGUAAAGCACUUUCAGUUGUGAGGAAAAGUUAGUAGUUAAUACCUGCUAGCCGUGACGUUAACAACAGAAGAAGCACCGGCUAACUCCGUGCCAGCAGCCGCGGUAAUACGGAGGGUGCGAGCGUUAAUCGGAAUUACUGGGCGUAAAGCGCACGCAGGCGGUUUGUUAAGCUAGAUGUGAAAGCCCCGGGCUC